rnacentral:rRNA from 1 species
AUUGAACGCUGGCGGCAUGCCUUACACAUGCAAGUCGAACGGUAACAGGUUAAGCUGACGAGUGGCGAACGGGUGAGUAAUGUAUCGGAACGUGCCCAGUCGUGGGGGAUAACUGCUCGAAAGAGCAGCUAAUACCGCAUACGACCUGAGGGUGAAAGCGGGGGAUGGCAAAACCUCGCGCGAUUGGAGCGGCCGAUGUCAGAUUAGGUAGUUGGUGAGGUAAAGGCUCACCAAGCCGACGAUCUGUAGCUGGUCUGAGAGGACGACCAGCCACACUGGGACUGAGACACGGCCCAGACUCCUACGGGAGGCAGCAGUGGGGAAUUUUGGACAAUGGGCGCAAGCCUGAUCCAGCCAUGCCGCGUGCGGGAAGAAGGCCUUCGGGUUGUAAACCGCUUUUGUCAGGGAAGAAAAGGUUCUGGCUAAUACCUGGGACUCAUGACGGUACCUGAAGAAUAAGCACCGGCUAACUACGUG